rnacentral:rRNA from 1 species
UUGAAAGGGAAACGAUUGAAGUCAGUCAUGCUGGUGGGAAUCAAACUUAGGGGAAACUCUAGGUGCACUUCUUCGCUUGGCAGGUUAAACGUAGGUUAACGUAGAUCUUGAAUGCCAUAAAAUAAUUGGGGGAAGGUAGCUCCUUCGGGAGUGUUAUAGCCCUUGAUAGAUGUGAUGUUUGGGGUCGAGGAUUGCAACGGAUACCCUUUGGGGCUAGCCGCCUGAUCUCUAAUCGGUGUUGGGUUACGGAUAGCAUGCUGACCGUGAUCUAAUUACUGGUUAAAAGGUUAGAGUAUGCAUAAAUUCGUUAAGGAUGUUGACGUA